rnacentral:rRNA from 1 species
GCCUACCAUGCAAGAUCGAACGGCAGCACAGAAGAGCUUGCUCUUUGGGUGGCGAGUGGCGGACGGGUGAGUAAUGUCUGGGAAACUGCCCGAUGGAGGGGGAUAACUACUGGAAACGGUAGCUAAUACCGCAUAACGUCGCAAGACCAAAGUGGGGGACCUUCGGGCCUCACACCAUCGGAUGUGCCCAGAUGGGAUUAGCUAGUAGGUGGGGUAAUGGCUCACCUAGGCGACGAUCCCUAGCUGGUCUGAGAGGAUGACCAGCCACACUGGAACUGAGACACGGUCCAGACUCCUACGGGAGGCAGCAGUGGGGAAUAUUGCACAAUGGGCGCAAGCCUGAUGCAGCCAUGCCGCGUGUAUGAAGAAGGCCUUCGGGUUGUAAAGUACUUUCAGCGGGGAGGAAGGCGGUGAGGUUAAUAACCUCGCCGAUUGACGUUACCCGCAGAAGAAGCACCGGCUAACUCCGUGCCAGCAGCCGCGGUAAUACGGAGGGUGCAAGCGUUAAUCGGAAUUACUGGGCGUAAAGCGCACGCAGGCGGUCUGUUAAGUCAGAUGUGAAAUCCCCGGGCUUAACCUGGGAACUGCAUUUGAAACUGGCAGGCUUGAGUCUCGUAGAGGGGGGUAGAAUUCCAGGUGUAGCGGUGAAAUGCGUAGAGAUCUGGAGGAAUACCGGUGGCGAAGGCGGCCCCCUGGACGAAGACUGACGCUCAGGUGCGAAAGCGUGGGGAGCAAACAGGAUUAGA